CCUACGGGAGGCAGCAGUGAGGAAUAUUGGUCAAUGGACGAGAGUCUGAACCAGCCAAGUAGCGUGAAGGAUGACUGCCCUAUGGGUUGUAAACUUCUUUUAUAAAGGAAUAAAACGCGUCACGUGUGCCUUUUUGCAUGUACUUUAUGAAUAAGGAUCGGCUAACUCCGUGCCAGCAGCCGCGGUAAUACGGAGGCUCCGAGCGUUAUCCGGAUUUAUUGGGUUUAAAGGGAGCGUAGAUGGGUUGUUAAGUCAGGUGUGAAAGUUUGCGGCUCAACCGUAAAAUUGCAAUUGAUACUGGCAGUCUUGAGUACAGUGGAGGUAGGCGGAAUUCGUGGUGUAGCGGUGAAAUGCUUAGAUAUCACGAAGAACCCCGAUUGCGAAGGCAGCUUACUAAACUGUGACUGACAUUGAUGCUCGAAAGUGUGGGUAGCAAACAGGAUUAGAUACCCUAGUAGUC
rnacentral:rRNA from 1 species